rnacentral:lncRNA from 11 species
UUGGAUGCAGCGCUCCAGAUUUCGAGGUCUUCCUGAAGCAGAAAAUUUCAGCUUGGAUCAUUCUGUGCCUCAAUGAAGAGCAAAGAAAAAAGCAGUCUUCAAAAUGCCACGGAAGGCAGAAUCCAGUGGCAGCUGACGGAUGCAGAGCCUCCCUGUGAUGUUUUAAUGAGUGAAGAAGGAGAGUGGGAGGCCAGGCUCCGAAAAAGAAGCCCCGCUCUUCAUCCUGUUCAGCUGUGAGGCUCCUCCUUGGCGUUUUGCAGAAGGCUAAGCAUCUCGAUUUGCUGAAGCAGCUGAACUGGAAAAAUUCAAAACAGUCUUGAUAAUAUGAAAAGUUGAGAGGAGAGGCAGUCUGUGUUAUCACUUUGAAGCAGUUCUUUACAUUUUGAAAAGGAAAACACAAACUGCUUCCUGCUGC